GUGUAUACCUGACAUUUAUAUUUACAGGAAUUUGGAUAGCAGAGGGGAUCAGAAGAGAAGGAUUGAUAGAGCCGGCGGCGAGAACAAAAACUAGGAGAUCUGCGAACUGCCUGCCAAGGGAGUCUGCGAACGGAAUAAUCGUCCAUGGCGACAGCGCUACAGCCUGUGGCGAGGAAAAUCUGCAGUCGCGCCCUUGAGCGACCCGCGCAGCGGCUCUUUUCGGCGGCCGCUUCAGCGGCUGUCAAAGAGGAACAGCGGAUGCUGCUGCCAAGGAUUAGCCAUGGCGGGAGCUCACUUCGUCGGUUCAGCUCCUCGGAAGCACCAAAUCUUCUCAAUAAUAGCAAGCAUCUGCCCUGUGAAGGAAAAUCAGGGCUUUCCAAACAAAUAGAGGAGACGAAACAUGAGCUGCUCGAUCUGGUCCGCCAGAGGGAAGGUGACUAUUCCAUGGUGAAUGAUCCAAAGGAGCUUCAACGUUUGCUUCAGCGAUAUAAUAUAAGAAUCUUAACUACAGCCUGUAAUAUAACAACGGCGGCGAUGGCAGCGGGAACCAUAACAGCGGGGGCGAUGAUACUGAGCUACGAAUUUGUGUUUGGGCGGAAAAAAGAACAAUAGAGAGAGUAAUAGUUAAUACUGCAGAUGUGGAUGACCGAAAAAUUGUACUGGUUACAGAAGUUGUUUAUUAUCCUCUGGAUCGUUUAUUCAAUCGGCCGAUGGAUCCAAAUA